UACGUAGGCAGCGAGCGUUGUUCGGAAUUACUGGGCGUAAAGAGUGUGUAGGCGGUGUUCCCAGUCUGUUGUGAAAUCUCCCGGCUUAACUGGGAGGGUGCAGCGGAAACUAGAAUGCUAGAAGGUGGGAGAGGUAAGCGGAAUUCCUGGUGUAGCGGUGAAAUGCGUAGAUAUCAGGAGGAACACCUGUGGUGUAGACAGCUUACUGGACCACUUCUGACGCUGAGACACGAAAGCGUGGGUAGCAAACAGG
rnacentral:rRNA from 1 species